AACGAACGCUGGCGGCAGGCUUAACACAUGCAAGUCGAACGCCCCGCAAGGGGAGUGGCAGACGGGUGAGUAACGCGUGGGAACGUGCCCUUCGCUUCGGAAUAGCCCCGGGAAACUGGGAGUAAUACCGAAUACGCCGUAUUGGGAAAGAUUUAUCGGCGAAGGAACGGCCCGCGUUAGAUUAGCUAGUUGGCGGUGUAAUGGACCACCAAGGCUACGAUCUAUAGCUGGUCUGAGAGGAUGAUCAGCCACACUGGGACUGAGAAACGGCCCAGACUCCUACGGGAGGCAACAGUGGGGAAUCUUGGACAAUGGGCGCAAGCCUGAUCCAGCCAUGCCGCGUGAGUGAAGAAGGCCUUAGGGUUGUAAAACUCUUUCGCCGGAGAAGAUAAUGACGGUACCUGGAGAAUAAGCCCCGGCAAACUUCGUGCCAGCAGCCGCAGUAACAC
rnacentral:rRNA from 1 species